rnacentral:sRNA from 1 species
UCAUAGUUUGUUUGGAUUUUCUGUUUA